rnacentral:lncRNA from 1 species
CAAAAUUCAUGUACAUUUUUCCUGCAUUAUAAAUCAGCUAUUUCAUAUGAGCACUUGGACAUAUGCACCAAUCAACAUAGAAACAUGAACCUUUGAUACCAAGCUAUGGUAAGUACUAGCAGAAACUAUACAGAAGAAGAAACACGUUAUUCAAUCGACGAAGAAAAAUAUCAUCCGUAUCGGGAGAUUUAUGGAGGAAAUUCUCUUUUAGUUUCGGAUCGAUUGGCGAACUAUAAAACAAGGAAAUUUUCAAAGGCUUCAGAUUUCAUAAACAUAUGGUGCAGAUCCUCAUUGUCAAUAAUUGUGAAAACAUAAUUAAACAAGAGUUCCAUAAGGGCAAACCACAUCAUUUGUGUAAAUCUAGAGUAAGCUCCUAAAGAAGCAGAGUAAUACAUCUUUAAUCUAAGCAAUAACAGAAGUGCCAAUUUUCAAGGCUUAAU